GUGCUUGCUUCAGCAGCACAUAUACUAAAAUUGGAACAAUAGAAGAUUAGCAUGGCCCCUGUACAAAGAUGACAUGCAAAUUCAUGAAGCAUUCUGUAUUUUU
rnacentral:snRNA from 1 species